AGUAAGGUGGCAGAAAAGUGCCUCAGAUUUAAGCUCUGACUAUGAAGUACCCACUUCCCUUACUA
rnacentral:tRNA from 2 species